CUUCAACGAGCCGAGAUACAGGGGCUGUUCGCGGUCCUGCCCGUAGGUGGCGAGGAGCGCCUGGGCCUC
rnacentral:antisense_RNA from 1 species